AUUGAACGCUGGCGGCAGGCUUAACACAUGCAAGUCGAGCGAGCGGCGGACGGGUGAGUAAUGUCUGGGAAACUGCCUGAUGGAGGGGGAUAACUACUGGAAACGGUAGCUAAUACCGCAUACCAUCAGAUGUGCCCAGAUGGGAUUAGCUAGUAGGUGGGGUAAUGGCUCACCUAGGCGACGAUCCCUAGCUGGUCUGAGAGGAUGACCAGCCAAACGGGAACUGAGCCAAGGUCCAGACUCCUACGGUAGGCAGAGGUGGGGAGUAUGGCACAAUGGGUGCAAGCCUGAUGCAGCCAUGCCGGGUGUAUGAAGAAGGCCUUCGGGUUGUAAAGCACUUUCAGCGGGGAGGCGUUACUCGCAGAAGAAGCACCGGCUAACUCCGUGCCAGCAGCGGCGGUAAUAC
rnacentral:rRNA from 1 species